rnacentral:hammerhead_ribozyme from 1 species
AUCUAGUUGAAGAGUCAAAAAUAGGAUGAUACAUGCGUCCUAGAU